GCAUCAGUGGUCCAACGGUAGGAUAAUUGCCUUCCAUCACGUUCAGCAAUUGGUUCGGGUUCGACUCCCGGCUGAUGCA